rnacentral:tRNA from 1 species
AGUAAAGUCAGCUAAACAAGCUAUCGGGCCCAUACCCCGGAAAUGCCACACGGCCUUUACCA